rnacentral:rRNA from 1 species
CUGAGGCGUGACGACGAGGCACUACGGUGCUGAAGCAACAAAUGCCCUGCUUCCAGGAAAAGCCUCUAAGCAUCAGGUAACAUCAAAUCGUACCCCAAACCGACACAGGUGGUCAGGUAGAGAAUACCAAGGCGCUUGAGAGAACUCGGGUGAAGGAACUAGGCAAAAUGGUGCCGUAACUUCGGGAGAAGGCACGCUGACACGUAGGUGAAGUGAUUUACUCAUGGAGCUGAAGUCAGUCGAAGAUACCAGCUGGCUGCAACUGUUUAUUAAAAACACAGCACUGUGCAAACACGAAAGUGGACGUAUACGGUGUGACGCCUGCCCGGUGCCGGAAGGUUAAUUGAUGGGGUCAGCGCAAGCGAAGCUCCUGAUCGAAGCCCCGGUAAACGGCGGCCGUAACUAUAACGGUCCUAAGGUAGCGAAAUUCCUUGUCGGGUAAGUUCCGACCUGCACGAAUGGCGUAAUGAUGGCCAGGCUGUCUCCACCCGAGACUCAGUGAAAUUGAACUCGCUGUGAAGAUGCAGUGUACCCGCGGCAAGACGGAAAGACCCCGUGAACCUUUACUAUAGCUUGACACUGAACAUUGAGCCUUGAUGUGUAGGAUAGGUGGGAGGCUUUGAAGUGUGGACGCCAGUCUGCAUGGAGCCGACCUUGAAAUACCACCCUUUAAUGUUUGAUGUUCUAACGUGGACCCGUGAUCCGGGUUGCGGACAGUGUCUGGUGGGUAGUUUGACUGGGGCGGUCUCCUCCUAAAGAGUAACGGAGGAGCACGAAGGUUGGCUAAUCCUGGUCGGACAUCAGGAGGUUAGUGCAAUGGCAUAAGCCAGCUUGACUGCGAGCGUGACGGCGCGAGCAGGUGCGAAAGCAGGUCAUAGUGAUCCGGUGGUUCUGAAUGGAAGGGCCAUCGCUCAACGGAUAAAAGGUACUCCGGGGAUAACAGGCUGAUACCGCCCAAGAGUUCAUAUCGACGGCGGUGUUUGGCACCUCGAUGUCGGCUCAUCACAUCCUGGGGCUGAAGUAGGUCCCAAGGGUAUGGCUGUUCGCCAUUUAAAGUGGUACGCGAGCUGGGUUUAGAACGUCGUGAGACAGUUCGGUCCCUAUCUGCCGUGGGCGCUGGAGAACUGAGGGGGGCUGCUCCUAGUACGAGAGGACCGGAGUGGACGCAUCACUGGUGUUCGGGUUGUCAUGCCAAUGGCACUGCCCGGUAGCUAAAUGCGGAAGAGAUAAGUGCUGAAAGCAUCUAAGCACGAAACUUGCCCCGAGAUGAGUUCUCCCUGAGACUUAGAGUCUCCUGAAGGAACGUUGAAGACGACGACGUUGAUAGGCCGGGUGUGUAAGCGCAGCGAUGCGUUGAGCUAACCGGUACUAAUGAACCGUGAGGCUUAACCUU